AAAGUCGUAACAAGGUAUCCGUAGGUGAACCUGCGGAUGGAUCAUUAUAAGCACGAAAGGGGGAGGGGGGGGGAGAUAGUCUGGUCCGGUCCGGUCCGGUCCUGGUCCUGGCCUCGGCAAACGAUCCUGCAAACGAACCUGAGAACGAAAGCAAACAUAUACACCUUUGUGGUUUAUAGAUGUUGUAUGUGUGUUGUUGGCGGCCGCGAAUGCGCAGCUCGAAAGAGCAGCGCGGCCGCACCGCCGACGGCAUGCCCCAUACAAACCUAUCAAUGCAUACUAGUCUAACGUAUAACCUUGUGGUCUGCCUCGGCGGACACCAAGUAAAACAACCAUAAUCCAAUACAACUGCUAGCAACGGAUCACUCGGCUCUC
rnacentral:misc_RNA from 1 species